AGGACGAACGCUGGCGGCGUGCUUAACACAUGCAAGUGGAGCGACGAACCAGGGCUUGCCCUGGGGCAGAGCCGCGAACGGGUGAGUAACACGUGGGUUACCUGCCCUGAUGAUUGGGACAACCCGAGGAAACUCGGGCUAAUACCAAAUGUGCCCCCUGGCCUCAAGGCCUCUGGGGAAAGGAGCUUCGGCCUCCGCAUCGGGAUGGGCCCGCGGCCCAUUAGCUUGUUGGUGGGUAAUGGCCUACCAAGGCGACGACGGGUA
rnacentral:rRNA from 1 species